UCUCAGGUGGCUCAGUGGUAAAGAAUCUGCCACCAAUGCAGAAGAUGCUGGUGAUGCAGGUUCGAUCCCUGCGUUGGGAA
rnacentral:tRNA from 1 species